AUUGAACGCUGGCGGCAUGCCUUACACAUGCAAGUCGAACGGUAACAGGCCUUCGGAUGCUGACGAGUGGCGAACGGGUGAGUAAUACAUCGGAACGUGCCCGAUCGUGGGGGAUAACGGAGCGAAAGCUUUGCUAAUACCGCAUACGAUCUACGGAUGAAAGCAGGGGACCGCAAGGCCUUGCGCGGACGGAGCGGCCGAUGGCAGAUUAGGUAGUUGGUGGGAUAAAAGCUUACCAAGCCGACGAUCUGUAGCUGGUCUGAGAGGACGACCAGCAACACUGGGACUGAGACACGGCCCAGACUCCUACGGGAGGCAGCAGUGGGGAAUUUUGGACAAUGGGCGCAGGCCUGAUCCAGCCAUGCCGCGUGCAGGAUGAAGGCCUUCGGGUUGUAAACCGCUUUUGUACGGAACGAAAAGACUCUGGUUAAUACCUGGGGUCCAUGACGGUACCGUAAGAAUAAGCACCGGCUAACUACGUGCCAGCAGCCGCAGUAAUAC
rnacentral:rRNA from 1 species